rnacentral:rRNA from 1 species
AGUUUAGCUAAUGUUGCCCGUACCGUAAACCGACACAGGUGGGUGGGAUGAGUAUUCUAAGGCGCGUGGAAGAACUCUCUUUAAGGAACUCUGCAAAAUAGCACCGUAUCUUCGGUAUAAGGUGUGGUUAGCUUUGUAUUAGGAUUUACUCCGAAAGCAAGGAAACUUACAACAAAGAGUCCCUCCCGACUGUUUACCAAAAACACAGCACUCUGCUAACUCGUAAGAGGAUGUAUAGGGUGUGACGCCUGCCCGGUGCUCGAAGGUUAAUUGAUGGGGUUAGCAUUAGCGAAGCUCUUGAUCGAAGCCCGAGUAAACGGCGGCCGUAACUAUAACGGUCCUAAGGUAGCGAAAUUCCUUGUCGGUUAAAUACCGACCUGCAUGAAUGGCGUAACGAGAUGGGAGCUGUCUCAAAGAGGGAUCCAGUGAAAUUGUAGUGGAGGUGAAAAUUCCUCCUACCCGCGGCAAGACGGAAAGACCCCGUGGACCUUUACUACAGCUUGACACUGCUACUUGGAUAAGAAUGUGCAGGAUAGGUGGGAGGCUUUGAGUAUAUGACGCCAGUUGUAUAUGAGCCAUUGUUGAGAUACCACUCUUUCUUAUUUGGGUAGCUAACCAGCUUGAGUUAUCCUCAAGUGGGACAAUGUCUGGUGGGUAGUUUGACUGGGGCGGUCGCCUCCCAAAUAAUAACGGAGGCUUACAAAGGUUGGCUCAGAACGGUUGGAAAUCGUUCGUAGAGUAUAAAGGUAUAAGCCAGCUUAACUGCAAGACAUACAAGUCAAGCAGAGACGAAAGUCGGUCUUAGUGAUCCGGUGGUUCUGUGUGGAAGGGCCAUCGCUCAAAGGAUAAAAGGUACCCCGGGGAUAACAGGCUGAUCUCCCCCAAGAGCUCACAUCGACGGGGAGGUUUGGCACCUCGAUGUCGGCUCAUCGCAUCCUGGGGCUGGAGCAGGUCCCAAGGGUAUGGCUGUUCGCCAUUUAAAGCGGUACGCGAGCUGGGUUCAGAACGUCGUGAGACAGUUCGGUCCCUAUCUGCCGUGGGCGUAAGAAGAUUGAAGAGAUUUGACCCUAGUACGAGAGGACCGGGUUGAACAAACCACUGGUGUAGCUGUUGUUCUGCCAAGAGCAUCGCAGCGUAGCUAAGUUUGGAAAGGAUAAACGCUGAAAGCAUCUAAGCGUGAAGCCAACUCUAAGAUGAAUCUUCUCUAAGCUCUCUAGAAGACUACUAGUUUGAUAGGCUGGGUGUGUAAUGGAUGAAAGUCCUUUAGCUGACCAGUACUAAUAGAGCGUUUGGCUUAUCUUU